ACACUCUCUACAAGGGUAAAGCAAACUGGGAGGUGCUGGUUCUGGCUCCAGAGGGACUGGGGUCUGGGGCCUGUCACCUGGUCCUGCCUGUGUUUCCUGGGAGGAGGACCUGGUUGAUAGAAGAAUUUAUCUCGUAGUCUUAACAUCCACUGUAAUUCCAAACUUUGAGGACGAUAGAGAUCAGUGGGCUUUGACUGCCCAGCAUGCAGUCUCCAUUCUUAGGUGGAGUCUCACUCUGUAGCCCAAGCUGGAGUGGCGUGAUCUCGACUCACUGCAACCUCCGCCUCCUGGGAUCAAGUGAUUCUCGUGCCUCAGCCUCCUGAGUAGCCGGGACUACAGGUCACAGAAUUUUCCACACUCCUUGACAGAGGUGCUUAACCCUUAUCCAUCAGCAUUCUCAGACAGCACCUCCGGUUAGGGACAGUAUCUGACCGUCCGACAUCCCUGCAGCCCCCAUGUGUCACACAGACUCAGCCUCAGGUAGAUGGUUUCCGUAGAUGGUGGCUUUCUUUGGACCCUUGACAUCAACCAGUUACUAUUUGGUCUAGGGGUCUCACCAACGCUGCUCAUCUAGCAGGGCCACACAUAACAAAUAGAAGCAGAGCAAGCCCUGGAACUCCUGCCUGACAGUGACACGACGACAGAAACAUCUUACCAGUCAGAGGACCAUGAGAAAUAGAUUCAAGGAGCAUUCCACGUGCAAGUGAGUCUUGGCCCCAUCUGCCUUUGGAUUUUAGCCGUGAACUGGAAGGUAUUGGAAAGAAGACCCUCAGAAAUAGCUUAAUCAAAAUCCCUGCGUCUGAACCAAGUGCCUUAUUUCUCUGUGGGCCUCAAGCUUCGCUGACAUCUGUGGAGCACACUGUCCUAACAGGAGUGCUGUCUGAUUUCCCAACGCUCUGCAAAACAAACAGCCUGGAAGGGUGGCUGGUGGAAGGUGGUUUUUAGAGAGAGACUUGUAGAUAACAGGAAAGUGAAGGCUGUAAGGAAGGUUGUAAUUAAACAGCACAUGGAAACACAA
rnacentral:lncRNA from 1 species